rnacentral:rRNA from 1 species
UACGUAGGGGGCUAGCGUUGUCCGGAAUCAUUGGGCGUAAAGCGCGUGUAGGCGGUCCGGUAAGUCCGCUGUGAAAGUCGGAGGCUCAACCCUCGGAUGCCGGUGGAUACUGUCGGGCUUGAGUACGGAAGAGGCGAGUGGAAUUCCUGGUGUAGCGGUGAAAUGCGCAGAUAUCAGGAGGAACACCAAUUGCGAAGGCAGCUCGCUGGGACGUUACUGACACUGAGACGCGAAAGCGUGGGGAGCAAACAGG